UGGGUGUAUGAAUUAGUUUAAGCGCGCAUGCGUGAGAACACAGUUGAGACCGUUGAGAGCGCGGGUCUGUGGCUGAGGGGAGCCGCCGAGUCUACCACAAACACAGCUGAUGACUUACCUGCUCUGUAAAUAAUAUGAACUCUGAUCCUGUGGAGCUUCUUCUUCACUUGAAGAACAUUAGUUGGACCUGGUGGCGAGCGUGCAGUGCAUUCAUCAUCGUAGAACUCCAGCUCCAUAAGCUGAGACCAGACCGGGAUCUCCGGUCUGUCCAGGUUCUCCGACACGGACCUGGAAAGGACUUCCAGGGAUGUGAGAGCCGUUGAACUUGACGUCGAUGGAGUGGACACCAUUCUCCCUGGGGAUGAACCGGACAGCAUACUUGUCUGGAGGACAGGACAGAGGGAUUUGGUCACUGGAAGUCCCAAUAUCAAAGAUUUUUGAGACUUUCCUCCCUUACAGAUAAUUGUGCCGUGUUUGUGAAGAGCAACAGGACUGAAAGCAGGGACUGUCUGAUGUACGUUUCCUUGAAAACACAUACUGACCUUUUUCCAGCUCAGUGACGACGCACUCCUCCAGAGCUCCAGAGGGGCUGUGGACUUUGGCCGCCAUUUUGCCCUGCGCUCCAUUCAGACGCACCUCAAAGGACGCUGGGUGAUUCACCUUCAAACCAGACUCCUAUCAAGGUCAGACACACAGUCAGAUUACAGGGAUGAAGAGGUUAACAACAGGAAAGAAUCACAUCAAAACAUGCAUAUAACAACUCUUUUAAUUAGUAGAAGUAAUACAAACAACACAGUUUUUAUUUAUAUAAUUUCUUCAUUUAUAUUUGACAUCUUCUACUCUUACCUGAGCUCCUGUUGGUGCAGCUCCAGCAGACAGAGGCCAGUGUUAAAAGCAGAGUUGGACCAAUUGACACUGCACUACAAUGUUGCAGUGUUAUAGUACAGUGUUUAAGGAAGUACUCAAUAAAUCUGACAUGGUUUACAGCAUUUUAGACUCUAAAAAUUCUGAUAUUGCCGGCUAUUCAUUUUUAUGUUAACAUUUUUGAUGAAGAAUUGAUGAAGAGCUGUACCGAGUGGGACAUUUAAAGUGUAAAAAAUAAACUUGUUCGUGCUCUCUGGUGGACAAACUA